rnacentral:rRNA from 1 species
ACUGGGGCUAAGUCGUAACAAGGUAGCCGUACCGGAAGGUGUGGCUGGAACACCUCCUUUCUGGAG